AGCGAACGCUGGCGGCAGGCUUAACACAUGCAAGUCGAGCGGGCAUCCUUGUGGUGUCAGCGGCAGACGGGUGAGUAACGCGUGGGAACGUGCCCUUCGGUUCGGAAUAACUCAGGGAAACUUGAGCUAAUACCGGAUACGUGCGAGAGCAGAAAGGUUUAUCUGCCGAAGGAUCGGCCCGCGUCUGAUUAGCUAGUUGGUGAGGUUAUGGCUCACCAAGGCGACGAUCAGUAGCUGGUCUGAGAGGAUGAUCAGCCACACUGGGACUGAGACACGGCCCAGACUCCUACGGGAGGCAGCAGUGGGGAAUAUUGGAAAAUGGGGGCAACCCUGAUCCAGCCAUGCCGCGUGAGUGAUGACGGCCUUAGGGUUGUAAAGCUCUUUUCUUCGGGACGAUAAUGACGGUACCGGAGGAAUAAGCCCCGGCUAACUUCGUG
rnacentral:rRNA from 1 species